rnacentral:rRNA from 1 species
UACGUAGGGUGCAAGCGUUAAUCGGAAUUACUGGGCGUAAAGCGUGCGCAGGCGGUUUUGUAAGUUUGUCGUGAAAUCCCCGGGCUCAACCUGGGAAUUGCGUUGGAGACUGCAAGGCUGGAGUCUGGCAGAGGGGGGUAGAAUUCCACGUGUAGCAGUGAAAUGCGUAGAGAUGUGGAGGAACACCGAUGGCGAAGGCAGCCCCCUGGGUCAAGACUGACGCUCAUGCACGAAAGCGUGGGGAGCAAACAGG